UUCAAAUACCCAAAUCAAACAAAAAUUUCUCUUCUUCUUAAUAUUUUUCUCUCUAAAAAUCAAAGAAGAAGAAAGGUAGAAUUAGAGCUAGGAUUUGGAGAACUCAAGGGUUCAUCCUCAAUUUUAUUUUAGAUUCUUAAUCAAGUUUCCACUCGCUGAGGUAUACUUUUACUUUCGAUUAAAGCUUGGUUGGAGUAUUCUUCACACUCGAUGAGUCCUUAUGGUUCGAGGACAAGAAUUAUUCGUGCUUAGUUUCUAUCAUACAUUUAUUUUAAAGACUAUUGUAAAGGGUUGUAACCCUUAUUGCCAUUCUAUUGUAGUAGAUGGUUCAUUGAGAUAAUGUCUAGACUCCAACUUCUGAUAUUAGUGAAAAGGCUUUGAUUGUAAUAAACUUUUAAUUCCACAUCAUUUCUAUUACUUAUGUUUAUGAUUAUGCUAUGGGUUUGUAUGAGACCUUCUGGGGUUGAGUACGCGGUGCUACAUCAGGGGGUAUGCUGGGUCGUGACAUAAACUGAUGUUAAAGUAUUAAUAUGAAUCAAUGAAGGCUAAUGAGAACGGCAAGGACAUUAUCGGGCAAAAAGAAAAAAAUAAGGUGAAAAGGUUCAAGGAAGGAAAUCCUAGGUAUUGACAAUACUACUCGGCAAACCGUCAGGUCACUGUUUAUCUCGCCAACCUACGUGGUGACAUAAAUAGGCAGUUGGCGGAUCGUGGACCUACUCAGCAACAUCAAACUUGACAGCUUAAAAUAAAAGAACCUCUGAGGAAUGAGAGGAACGGCAAACUGGCGAUGGACAAGAUCGCCAACAUUGUUGGUGAGCCUAACUUACUUCGCCUAACAGCUCUGAAGCCCAAAAAUUGGAGCACUCUAUAAUGAAUUUUUUCAAAGAAGAAGAGUUCGAAUUCCAAAAGUUCGUAGGAUUUUAAUUUUCUCUGAGUUUUUGAGUUUCCUUUGUUAAAUUUAAAGCUUUUGGGAUGUGGUUGAGGAUUUAAAAGUGUGUUUCUUAUUAAAUUGUUUUUGAAGCAUCGUAGAGACUCAAAAGAGAUUACCUAGCUCAUGGAUUAUAUAGUUUGUAAUUGUUUCUCUCUUUUUUAUGAUGUGUAGCUAAAACCCCUAUUAUUGGGAUGUGAUCAUGCAAUUAUUGGCUUAAUUAGAUUA